rnacentral:rRNA from 1 species
GACGAACGCUGGCGGCGUGCUUAAUACAUGCAAGUCGAACGGAAAGGCCCUGCUUUUGUUGGGUGCUCGAUUGCGGAACGGGUGAGUAACACGUGAGUAACCUGCCCUUGACUUUGGGAUAACUUCAGGAAACUGGGGCUAAUACCGGAUAGGAUCUCCUGCUGCAUGGUGUGGGUUGGAAAGUUUCGGCGGUUGGGGAUGGACUCGCGGCUUACCAGCUUGUUUGUUGGGUAGUGGCUUACCAAGGCUUUGGCGGGUAGCCGGCCUGAGAGGGUUACCGGCCACAUUGGGACUGAGAUAAGGCAGAGAGUGCUAAGGGAGCGAGCAGUGGGAAAUAUUGCACAAUGGGCGGCAGCCUGAUGAAGAAACGCCGCGUGCGGGAUGACGGCCUUCGGGUUGUAAACCGCUUUCGCCUGUGACGAAGCGUGAGUGAAGGUAAUGGGUAAAGAAGCACCGGCUAAAUACGUG